rnacentral:rRNA from 1 species
UAAGGAAUAUUGGACAAUGGAGGGAACUCUGAUCCAGCCAUGCCGCGUGAAGGAUGAAGGCGCUCAGCGUUGUAAACUUCUUUUGGAUGGGAACAAUAACUUCUACGUGUAGGAGCUUGAGGGUACCAUCAGAAUAAGCACCGGCUAACUCCGUGCCAGCAGCCGCGGUAAUACGGAGGGUGCAAGCGUUAUCCGGAAUCACUGGGUUUAAAGGGUGCGUAGGCGGUGGCGUAAGUCAGUUGUGAAAUUCCCCGGCUUAACCGGCGGGACUGCGAUUGAUACUGCGUCACUUGAAUCAGGAUGAGGUAGGCGGAAUGUGACAUGUAGCGGUGAAAUGCUUAGAUAUGUCAUAGAACACCGAUUGCGAAGGCAGCUUGCUGGACCUGUAUUGACGCUGAGG